GACGGAGGAUGCAAGUGUUAUCCGGAAUCACUGGGCGUAAAGCGUCUGUAGGUGGUCAAAUAAGUCAACUGUUAAAUCUUGAGGCUCAACCUCAAAAUCGCAGUCGAAACUAUUAGACUAGAGUAUAGUAGGGGUAAAGGGAAUUUCCAGUGGAGCGGUGAAAUGCGUAGAGAUUGGAAAGAACACCGAUGGCGAAGGCCCUUUACUGGGCUAUUACUAACACUCAGAGACGAAAGCCAGGGUAGCAAAUGGG
rnacentral:rRNA from 1 species